rnacentral:rRNA from 1 species
UACGGAGGGUGCGAGCGUUACUCGGAAUUACUGGGCGUAAAGGGCUAGUAGGCGGCUUAGCAAGUCGGGUGUGAAAACUUCAGGCUCAACCUGGAGCGGCCAUCCGAUACUGCUAUGGCUAGAGUCCGGUAGGGGACCACGGAAUUCCUGGUGUAGCGGUGAAAUGCGCAGAUAUCAGGAGGAACACCGGUGGCGAAGGCGGUGGUCUGGGCCGGAACUGACGCUGAAUAGCGAAAGCGUGGGUAGCGAACAGG